AUAAUUAAGUAGGAUCCUGGUAAUAAAUGGAUUUCAUUGGUGGCUGAAAUGUUGGCAUUGUUCAAAUAUGAACUUGUAACAUUUUACCAUAAAGGGCGAGCAUGGCAAAUUGUGUGGUACUGUCUAGCUCUGCUGAAAAGCAGGAUGAGCUGGCUUUUUCCGAUGCUUACUAGGCAAUUUUGGAGCGAAGAGUUUCAGUCUGAAACUAAACCAGAUUAAGAACUAGUAAAUCCUAGACAAACUUCAUGAGCUGCUAUGUGAUACCGUAAAAGUGGAAAUUUUUGUGGAUUUCGCGGCAAGAUCGUCAAGCGCCGAUUUAAAAACACGCGAAUUUAUGAGCAUCUAUUUUAAUGCAAGUUUUGAAUUGCGGUUCAAUUGCCUGGCAAAGAGACUGCAUAAUUUGACCUAUAGAGGGUGACAUUCAAGCAAGCAAGCUUGAGCUCCAAAAUCAUAUGCAUCGCGAGAAUUUGUUCCACAGCAAUGCUAUCAUUUUUUUAACAGUCAUUGGUAUUUAAAUUAUGAUUUUGGUUGAAAUAUAAAUUGCUUUUGCUGUUUGAUUGGUGAGUGUUUAGUUUUUAAGAAGACGUUGGGUUGAUCCCCCAGGUAUGUUGAUUGAUCCCAUGCACUUUGAAUAGCCGUAAUCCCCCGGUCCUUACCCGGUGCUGGGCCGUCCAUACCAGGCCAGCAGCACCUCCGUUUUGACCCUUUUCCCUUCCUUGAUGUCCGCUCCGCAAAGAAAAGUUGCGCAAAAUGUCACAAAAGCUCAUGAUUGGAUCAAAACAAUGCUGAAUUAUGCCGCUUUAGAGCUAGAAUUAUGAUCAGAAAAUACAAUUUCAUCGCUGAAACGUUAAUUAAAACCAUUCACAGAUGGGGAAGAAGGAAGUGACAUUGUGAUUAUGGAGUGUGCAGCGCGAAUUCAAGAACCCGCGAAUAUGUUUUGAAGCCGCCAAGCGCGAAAAAUUAAUCCCGUGAAAAAUAACAGCGUUUACAGUAGUCUAAGGUUAUGGCAUGCUUAGUGUGAAUAUUCUUGAAUUUCUUCACCCCAGCUUUGGAUAAACAUGUAGUGUAGGUUUAAGAAAGACGGUCUGAAACCAAAAUAAGUUACUGGCUUUUUAGAUAUUCCUGGGUUAAAAAAACUGAGGUCUCCAAAGCAUAUUUAUGAUUGUAGGCAAAAAGGAACAUUUUCAUGGUUAUUAAAUCUCUAUCCUCAAAAGAAUCUGUUAUACUUAAAUAAAUAUGAAAAUACACAUACGGUACACCUGUUAUAGCCAAUGUCAGUUUGUAUAAUAGUUGGUCAGUGUUGACAAUUGCAAACCAAAGAUAUAUUUAUUUUCUGCUGUGCUAGUCUUUCACACCUGCAAAACAGACGUGUCUUUCUGUCAUCUUUUGAUAUACGUUUCAGGCCCCUGAUGAAGUGAUAUGUACUAUUUAGAGUGUAUAUAAAAGCUGUACUAAUACAAAUGUUUUGUGAUCUCUUUAGAAUUACUGUGUAAAAUGAGAGUCGAGCGUAACAAAGCAUUGGACAAACAGGAACGUCUUGAGAUAGACCUCAUGGCCAUUUAGGCUAGAUCUCCUCUUCCUCCUCUAAUCCUGAUGGAGAUGGCUGACUUAGGUACUGAGAAAGAGAAAUUGCACACUGUUCAACUAGAAUUAGACGGAUGCUUAAAGGAGCUUGAAGCUUUGUAGAAGACCUCGUUAUUUUCAUCUUGUGUUUUGUUGAAGAAAAAUGCAAACUGUUUUUUAUGAGUCCUCUAUCAUUAACUAUUGGUUGAUUGGAUGUACAUGUGUACUUAGUACUUCGCUGGAGAUUACGAUUGGGAAUCUAUCUUCAUUUCUCAUUGUUGCACUCUAGUCUUCUCACAUAUAAAGCAUCUAGCAUAUCACUGUUUUUGAAGUGUUUGAUUUUAUUGAAGAUUAAAAUAAUGCAAAUUAAUUCAUUGUAUCAAUGGGAGCAAGCAUUGGCAAAACAUUGGACCAAUUGAAUAUAACAUUCCAAUUUUUUUUGGUACUUCGAAAAUUCCAUGCUUGAUUAAGAAAAAAAAAUGUCUAGUGAUUUUUUUUCUAGUUUAUCUGUUCACUUUUCAAGACUUGAUAUGAUACCUAUAAUUUCAUAUUCCAAACCAAUGUUAAGGCUUCUUGCAGUUGUGAUUGUAUCUACUAUGUGACACUGAUUGUGGAAUAUAUGGUUUGAAGUCUUGUCAAGAAAAUACAUAUUUAAUGUUAAUGAUCUUGCUGCGAAUUUGACAGGUUUUAGGUAAAAAAAAAAAAAAAACCCAACAAAUUAGCGAUUGAAUCUGUUAAGCACGAUGUAUCCCUAAUCAUGUAUUACAGUGUAAUGGAGAUGUGUGUUGCUAUCUAUCUUAACAUUGCAUGUAAUAAUUUAUUGUGAUACAUAGUGAAAUAUACAUUGCUAUUCUUUCCUCUCAAGUCAAAAUUAAUGAAAAACUGUGUGAACCUGUACAUAUGCUCUUUUGGUAAGUAUACUGUAGACAUGAGUAGGCAAGUCUGUAGGUAUCUGGUUUUUACUGUGCAUUCACUAGCAGAGUAACAUACAGUGCUGUAUGUACUACUGAGAAUAAUCUUUGUGAUGUCAUGAUAUUAUGGUGCAUUAUGUAAUCAUUCAGGGCGCUGUCAGUCUGUGCCCUGCAUAUAAAAAAUGUAUAAGUAUAAAUACGUGUUUGUAUGUGCUUCUCUUUGCUAUACGAACAUUGAAAAAUUAAAGUAGGGUAUCUAGUUCAUUGAUUUUCAAUUUACCUUUCCUUUUUUUUAUACUAUUUCUGCCUGGGUUUUUGUUCACCAACUAUAAUUUUGCCUAUUUGCUUUCUUUUCUUUCUUUUAUCCUCUUGUUAUUGUUCCUUCCUGAUGUGUUGUCCCAUACUAUGUUACUCCUUGUCUGUUGGUUCCUGUGUAAUGUUUUGGUUACCUGUACAGAGGAAUUGGUUAGUGAGAAGGAAAAGUGCAGACAGAUGAACGAGGAGAUGGAGCGCUGCUUGCAAGAACUCAACAUGGAGGUCUAGACACAGUAGUCCUCUUGCUUGCUUAUACGUAUCCAUAGCAACCUUCCUUUAUUUUCACUUGUAACCAGUUUUGUCCUCAAAGCCAACUCCUGGCUGAGCCCACACACCAUCAAAUCUGGACACUAUUUAUGUUCCUUUAUUUUAUGUUUCUAUGUUUCAAAACUUUGGAAAGAGAGAGAGAGGGAGAGAAAUCUUCUUUCACUUCAAAUGAGAGAAAGCGGAAGAAAUUGUACAAAGUAAUUUUUUUAAGUUGUACGUCUUAGUAUAGGAGGCAAGGAAAGUAUUGUUCUUUUUAAGAUAUUUUAUUGCAAAAGUUAUUUAUAGAAGAAUUUGUAACUUUUUUAUGGCAAGAUUGGUUUGGUAAUGAAUGAUGAAAGGAAUUGGUUGGAUGUUGACUGUUAGGCGCUCUAGACUGUGACAAGGUUGUCAGAUCAGUCGCUUCUACAUCGGACAUGGAUUGAUAUCGUGUGUAUAUUAUUACACCCCCCCCCCCCUUAACCAUAACUUAUGUAUUAUUGUUGCUUCUUUCAUCAGAUUGUUCAAUUAGUAUUUUUUCUAUCAAGAGAAAAUUCAGUUUUGAUUGUUUCCAUGUCAUUUCUCUUGAUAAAAACUUGUCAGAUUGAGCAUGAGAAACUGAAAAUUUGAUUUCUACUUUAUUUGCUUCAAUGUUUUCUGAUCAAUAGCUUUUCUUCCAUGUCACUAGCUAAGCAUGGUUGUAUACUCAUAUCAUCAAAACUCACAGCUUAGUUUUGUACAUGUAUCAAUAGUUAAAAUGACUACACUAUCAUUCUCUGUAGGAUUAACUUAGUCUAUGACAUAUUAAAGCAUUAGUAGAAAAGGGAAGAUAUUUAAUAGCUGAUAUAUGUUUGUCUAGUGUAUAUGAUCUGAUAACAAAAUAUUCUUGACAGUUAUAAAAGAAAUAAAAUCAUGUACAAAGUAAUACUAAUUUAAUAUCUAAUUAUAUAUAUUAUCAUUAUAGCUGCAGAAUACAUUAGAUCAUAUGGAAUUCUUAGACGAAACGAUUGACUUCAAAACUUGAUAUGUUUUAUACACCUAUCAUUCAUGAUUACGCAAGUGUAAUUAUUAGUGCUUUAGUAUUGUCAAAUUAUGCACUAGAAAAUUAAAAUUUUUGAUUUACAGAACUACAGAUGACAAGUCUUUGUAUUGUAAAUGUUUAUAUUUCAUUAUUUGCUUAUCAUCUAGACUGUAAUAUAGUGAAUGAUUUUAAGUGUGAGUAUUGCAUUAUUUUCUUGUUACGGAUGAACGAACUGGUACUGUAUUAUGUAUAUCAUCUACUCCUAUACCCAUUAUACUCGUACAAGUGCUAAUGUACAUUGACUAGCUUUUCUGACAACUAGAAACAAAAACACUACAUGUUACAUUGAUUGGUAAUUGUCCUGAAUAUGUAAUAUUUUGCAUGAUUUUCUUUUGAAACGUUGUCAUUGUCGGGUUAUAAAAUCACCAUUGAAAAUCAUACGCAAACAAACCCAAUUUGAACUAUGUAGAGGGUUGCAUGGUGCAUUAAAACACAGCGCUUCAUACUCACUAAAAGAUUGCCUUUUAUUCCAUUUUAUUUCAUUUUACUCUCACUGACUCUCUGCUGUUUUUUUUUUCUUAAAUCAAAAGCAAUCUGAUAUCUCAUUUCUGAUAACAUUUACUAUCGUCUGAUUGGCGAUUCAGAGUUUGAAGAGAAAUGAUUUGCCUUGGUCUGAUUUUAGCCUCGCUUCAGCCUUUUGUUUUCAUUCUUGUUUUAUUCUCUUUCAAAGUUAAGCUUUGAGGUGUGUCAUGAUUCAGAUGAACUGUCCCAAAUUCUUGUAAAUUAUUUUCUGAAUUUUGAUUAACUUCAAAGAAACUAAAAGAAGAGUUGGAUUAAGGGAGUUGAGAUGGUGGGGAAUGGCUUAGAUUCAAGGAAUUAUGCAAACGGAACCCUCUACAUGUGUGGAAGAUAAUGUAUUUGUUCUUAGAUUGAGAAUACUCCAUUGAGAGUUGGGGAACGGUAGGGUCAUCCCAACUAGAACCAGUGAAGCAGAAUCGCAUAGAAUGAAUAGAAGAAAUUUCUAGCAAUUCUAUCAAUCUAUAGCACCAUUUCAGCUCUUUUAAUCUUCACUUCAUUUCUCUUGGUCCUUUCCAUUUUUUGUAAGCAUGGGAAACCCUAUAUUUUUGCAACUCUCACUGUUUAUACAUAUUAAAGCACAUUAAAAUGUGGCCUGUUCAAAAUCUGAGAGGUUGCCCAUAUCAAAACUAAACAAUGUGAUCACAUAAAAUGAACAAUUUAUUUUUCUUCAACAACUGGAUUGUUUUUUUAAAACAGAAGGUCGCCUACUAGAAAGGAAUGGGGGGGGGGGGGGGGGGCUAGAUGGUGCAUGGGAUAGGGAAGAUCAAUUUUUAAGAGUAAAAAGAUUUUAAAAAAUGGAUGAAAAAUUAAUUGGUGCUUGAGUACUUGACAGAGUCCAAGGAAUAAGAGUGUGUAAUUUUAGAAGCAGUGCAGUAUGCAUUGUACCCCUCAUCAUAGAUGAAUAAAACACAUUUAUCUGACGGCAA